rnacentral:lncRNA from 1 species
UUUACCUGGAAAGGAUCUUGACUUAUGCUGAAAUUGACAUUUGUCCAUCUAACUGGAAAAGGAUUUCCUUGGGAGUCAUUCUUUUUGCCUCCAAGAUUAUGCAUGAUCAAGCUGUACAAAGUGGAAAACUGUCAGAUCUUCAAGGAUAUCCCAGUAAAAGACAUGUGAGUUUAUAAGGUUUUGUUAAACUUUCUAACCGUUU